rnacentral:rRNA from 1 species
UGCCUCAGUAACGGCGAGUGAAGCGGCAACAGCUCAAAUUUGAAAUCUGGCCCCCCGGCCCGAGUUGUAAUUUGCAGAGGAUGCUUCUGGCGCGGUGCCUUCCAAGUCCCCUGGAACGGGGCGCCAUAGAGGGUGAGAGCCCCGUCUGGUUGGCCGCCAAGCCUGUGUGAAGCUCCUUCGACGAGUCGAGUAGUUUGGGAAUGCUGCUCUAAACGGGAGGUAGACCCCUUCUAAAGCUAAAUACCGGCCAGAGACCGAUAGCGCACAAGUAGAGUGAUCGAAAGAUGAAAAGCACUUUGAAAAGAGGGUUAAACAGUACGUGAAAUUGUUGAAAGGGAAGCGCUUGUGACCAGACGUGCGCCGGGUGUUCAGCGGGCGUUUUCGCCCGUGCAUUCGCCCCGGCGCAGGCCAGCGUCGGUUCGGGCGGGGGGAUAAAGGCGUCAGGAACGUAUCUCCCCCGGGAGUGUUAUAGCCUGGCGCGUCAUGCCCCCGCCUGGACCGAGGUUCGCGCUCCGCAAGGACGCUGGCGUAAUGGUCCCCAGCGGCCCGUCUUGAAACACGGACCAAGGAGUCGAGGUUUUACGCGAGUGUCUGGGUGUCAAACCCGCACGCGUAAUGAAAGUGAACGUAGGUGGGAGCUUCGGCGCACCACCGACCGAUCCUGAUGUUUUCGGAUGGAUUUGAGUAGGAGCGUAGGGCCUCGGACCCGAAAGAUGGUGAACUAUACUUGGAUAGGGUGAAGCCAGAGGAAACUCUGGUGGAGGCUCGCAGCGGUUCUGACGUGCAAAUCGAUCGUCAAAUCUGAGUAUGGGGGCGAAAGACUAAUCGAACCAUCUAGUAGCUGG